AGGGGUCAAGGGCCCAUUAGCCUGUGAUUUGUGCCUUGACUCAUUGACUUAAGUGAUUUUAAGUGACUUGCAGAGCCAAGGACCCCUCUGUGCAGUCAUACCUUGUUGCAUCCGAGAUGAAGAUCUGUGUGUAUGAGUGGCGCCCUACACUUCAGGACAUGGACCCAUGGAGGAGUAUCAUGGCAUGGAGAGAUGCAGCGGGAAAAGUUUCACGUGCCUGAAUCCCGCAAAUCUGGAUCAGAGACACGACUCGAGGACAAAGAGGGGAUCUCAAACAUUAGGAGGGGACAAAAUACAUUUUCUCGAAGCAACCAGGUCACUCAUUUGGAGAUAGAGGUCAGAGGCACUCUUAGAGGCCGUGAAUCGCCCUCGGAUGGAAGGGGAAUAUUGAUUGUCUCCAG